AGCCUGAACGCUGGCGGCGUGGCUAAGACAUGCAAGUCGCACGGAGGUAGCAAUACCUUAGUGGCGAACGGGUGAGUAAUGUAUCGCUAACGUACCCUUUAGUCCGGGAUAGCCAGGGGAAACUCUGGGUAAUACCGGGAAAUAUUCUCCUCUCGCAUGGGAGGAGACUCAAAGGAGCAAUCCGCUGAAGGAGCGGGCGAUAUCGUAUCAGCUAGUUGGUGAGGUAACGGCUCACCAAGGCGACGACGCGUAGCCGGACUGAGAGGUCGGUCGGCCACAUUGGGACUGAGACACUGCCCAGACUCCUACGGGGGGCUGCAGUAACGAAUCUUCCGCAAUGCACGCAAGUGUGACGGAGCGACGCCGCGUGUGGGACGAAGUCCUUCGGGAUGUAAACCACUGUCAGGGGUUACCAAGUUCUGAGGAGCCCCAGAGGAAGGCACGGCUAACUCUGCGCCAGCAGCCGCGGUAA
rnacentral:rRNA from 1 species